GGGGAUGUAGCUCAACUGGGAGAGCGCCGCGUUCGCAAUGCGGAGGCUAGGGGUUCGAGCCCCCUCAUCUCCACCA
rnacentral:tRNA from 2 species